AACGAACGCUGGCGGCGCGUCUUAAGCAUGCAAGUCGAACGGCAAGAGAGGAGCUUGCUUCUCUCCUAGAGUGGCGGACUGGUGAGGAACACGUGGGUAAUCUACCCUUAAGAUGGGGAUAGCUGCUAGAAAUAGCAGGUAAUACCGAAUACACUCGGCAUAUCACAAGAGGUGUUGAGGAAAGGAAGCUACGGCUUCGCUUGAGGAUGAGCUUGCGUCCCAUUAGCUAGUUGGUGAGGUAAAGGCCCACCAAGGCGACGAUGGGUAUCCGGCCUGAGAGGGUGAACGGACACAUUGGGACUGAGAUACGGCCCAAACUCCUACGGGAGGCAGCAGCUAAGAAUAUUCCGCAAUGGACGGAAGUCUGACGGAGCGACGCCGCGUGGAUGAAGAAGGCUGAAAAGUUGUAAAAUCCUUUUGUUGAUGAAGAAUAAGGGUGAGAGGGAAUGCUCAUCUGAUGACGGUAAUCGACGAAUAAGCCCUGCUAAUUACGUG
rnacentral:rRNA from 1 species